UGAGGAGAAGGGGGCUGCGAAUUCUCUUCGGACUCAUCUUUUCCUCCGUUGCUUUUGGUGACUUCCAGGUGAAACCUCGGGGAAGGGAGCCCACCAAAGGACCCUCCAGGCAGGUGUAGACAUUUGGCUGCAAAAUCUGUGAGAGGAACCUGAGAAGUGAUGCUUGUGCCAGUUGAUUUAUUGUACUCAACUCCAAAUUCACCCUUUUUGACUGCACUAUGAAAAUGGAUCUGGGCCUUUUUAAGCAUCUCAUGUCUUCUGCUGGAAGAUCCUGAAACUACUCACCUACUUAAGAGAAUCUCCACAUUGUUGGCAUAAUCUUCACCUCUCUGUUCCUUUCCUCCCAUGAAAGGAAGUUGAGAGAAAGGAUGAGUCAAGUAACAUAAGAAACUGCUGAGAAGGAAUUUUUCACUUGAAAACCAAGUGAAGAGCAGACAAGUACCAAAGCACAGAACCUGACAAGUUUAAGACCUUUGUCCGGCCUUUUCCGCUUCAGAAUUAGUGUUUCCUAUUGGACUGGCCACAGAGAUCUGUUUCUUUGGAUAAUGUGAAAAGAUGAUUGCCGUACAUCAAGGGGGAAGAAUAUGGACUGAUAUCUGCUUAUACUCUCCCCACUUCCCAGGAUAACCUAGACAGGUAACCAGGAGCCCUGUCUCUGAGCUGACAGUUGGAGUAUUAUCCUCACCAUUUUUGGAUCCUUUCUGUUCAAAUAAAUGGACCAUUAAUUUGAAGCAUGGUAUUUUUGGAAGUUAAAUAAAUCUAUGGAACAGCGCUUAAAAUUAACAUUCAGAAUUAUUAUCAGAGGACCUGUUUUCCUCCAUCCGAAGUUUAUGCAUCAACAGACCAAUUGCAAGUCAUGAAAGGGCA
rnacentral:lncRNA from 1 species